CUACGGGUGGCACCAGUGGGGAAUAUUGCACAAUGGGCGCAAGCCUGAUGCAGCCAUGCCGCGUGUAUGAAGAAGGCCUUCGGGUUGUAAAGUACUUUCAGCGGGGAGGAAGGGAGUAAAGUUAAUACCUUUGCUCAUUGACGUUACCCGCAGAAGAAGCACCGGCUAACUCCGUGCCAGCAGCCGCGGUAAUACGGAGGGUGCAAGCGUUAAUCGGAAUUACUGGGCGUAAAGCGCACGCAGGCGGUUUGUUAAGUCAGAUGUGAAAUCCCCGGGCUCAACCUGGGAACCGCAUCUGAUACUGGCAAGCUUGAGUCUCGUAGAGGGGGGUAGAAUUCCAGGUGUAGCGGUGAAAUGCGUAGAGAUCUGGAGGAAUACCGGUGGCGAAGGCGGCCCCCUGGACGAAGACUGACGCUCAGGUGCGAAAGCGUGGGGAGCAAACAGGAUUAGAUACCCUAGUAGUC
rnacentral:rRNA from 1 species